UACGAAGGGGGCUAGCGUUGCUCGGAAUCACUGGGCGUAAAGGGUGCGUAGGUGGGUCUUUAAGUCAGAGGUGAAAUCCUGGAGCUCAACUCCAGAACUGCCUUUGAUACUGAGGAUCUUGAGUUCGGGAGAGGUGAGUGGAACUGCGAGUGUAGAGGUGAAAUUCGUAGAUAUUCGCAAGAACACCGGUGGCGAAGGCGGCUCACUGGCCCGAUACUGACACUGAGGCACGAAAGCGUGGGGAGCAAACAGG
rnacentral:rRNA from 1 species